UAUCAAAUAAAGGGAUUUCACCUUUGAUAGAUGAUCCUAAAUCAGCUGCAUUAACUUUGCUAAUUUGAU
rnacentral:tRNA from 1 species